GUGCUUGCUUCCUCAGCACAUAUACAAAAAUUGGAAAAAUACAGAGAAGAUUAGAAUGGCCCCUGCUCAAGGAUGACAUGCAAAUCCAUGAAGCAUUCCAUAUUUUU